AUGAGAUGUGGCCUUUGGAACUGGGGCCAUUUCAGGCAUUGCGUGUCAGAGCAUGCCUCACUACUUCCUGUCUGCAGGUCAAAUGAUGGGGAAACAACAACCCCCUCUGCAGUUGCACACAAUUCACUGACCUCUCAUCCAAGCAUCACCAAUGGACCUGAAGAUGAUGGAUCAUCGCGCUUUUUUCUCCGCGGCGCCUUUUCUCUGCCAUGCCGAUGAAUUCCAUCCACCGCUUUUCGCUUGAGCCCUUGCAUAAUUCUGCGAAUCCUUGUGGCUGAGAUUACUCCUUGUUCAUCUUUCCAGCACAGUUUCAUCGCCUGUAUCAACCACUCUAUCACUAGUCCUAACCCACGGGCUGUCUGAAGAAAUCAUCCAUGGCGGAAAAGGCAGAUGAAUGGCCAUGAUUGCGAGCGUGUCGUUUAGCACAGCAGCAGAUGACAAGGUAGCAACUCCUAUGAGGUGAGCCUGUGAACCUGCAUUGCAUCUAGAGGAAUUCUAUGGUGGUUAUGGCAUAUUCAUUCAGUAGGUCAAUGCUUCAGGGCCGGCCAAUGCUUCGGUGGUGUAAUCUAAAGCUGAAAUCAUGGCUGCAGUUGAAAGAGGAAUGUGACUACUGUGCUGUGGUACCACCCUUCUGCACUUUCUACCAACUGCAGUCAUUUGCUGCAGUUGUUCCAAUUGUUCCUUGCAUCAGAUAAAAACUGCACCAUAAAGAACCUUUCCCUCUAUAGUAACAUGAGCAAGUGCAAUUGUAG
rnacentral:lncRNA from 1 species